CAAAGACAUACAUAUUUUUUUUGUAAUCACACCUUCAAUUUACCGUGCACUUCUUCUAGACUCUAUCGAUAAGGUAGAGUCUGACGAAUUGUAGGGCGCUCUCGAUAUAAUAUACAGGGUGUUUGGUAAAGAAUGGGUCAUAGCUUGACCUGAGAUUUCUGAGCUUAAAAUAGGUCGAUUUAAGCUAACUUACCUUUGCACGAAAGUUGAUAAUAACCGGAAUACAGGGUGUCAAAGUUAAACUUUUAUUUUAUUUAUUCUUGAAUAUUUCCUGAUAGGCAUGGGAUAAUAACACGAAAUUUGGUAGGCGGGAGUUUUUUGGGACAAGAAAUGUAAAUUCGCCAUCAAAAAUGAUGUAUUAUCCAGAGGGCGCCACACACGCCUUUCAGCGCUCAUUUAAUACGUUCAAUUAUUUUUAUUACCCACUCUACAUACUUUUUGAAUCAAAACUUUUAUUCUCUUAAUACUUUUGCUUAAAGAAGGUAUAUUACAUUUAUCUCCCUAAACUCAACCGUUUUCGAGAUAAACGCAAUUUAAACUGCGAUGCAACAUAAUUUUUUGCAUAAUAUCCUUGUAGUUUCACCCGAAAAAUAUACUUAAAAUCAUAAUAAUUUCCAAAAAUGUAUCGCAAAUUUCUUGAGAAAAUAGAGGGGGGAUAAAAAAAAUUGAACAUAUUAAAUGAGCAAUGAAAGACGUACGUGGCGCCCUCUGGGUAAUACAUCAUUUUUGGUUGCGAAUUUGGAUUUAUCGUUCCAAAAAACCCCCGCCUACCAAAUUUCGUGGUGUUAUCCCUUACCUGUCAAGAAAUAUUCAAGUAUAAAUAAAAUAAAGUUUAACUUUGACACCCUGUAUUUCGGUUACUAUCAACUUCCGUAUUAAGGUAAGUUAGCUUAAAUCUUCCUAUUUCAAGCUCAGAAAUCUAAGGUUAAGCUAUGGCCCAUUCUUUACCAAACUGUAUAUCGACGCUGCCGAGCCAAAACGGCAUAAACGCCAAAAUGACCACUUUUUAGUUAGCUGCACCAAAAAAUAGGAUUUUAAUUUCCGCACCAGACAGUCAACGCGGUAUAACCCCAGACAAAGUGAAAUAGGGGUAAUAUUGAUUUAAAAUUUUUAUAAACGCCAGUCUAGUCACGCACGUGAACACCAAUUGACAUAAUCGCCAGUGCCCGUAAGAUUAUCAUUGUGUACAGUUCGGUCCAGUAAUAAUAGUAAAGAUGAAUAGCAGAAGUAAAAAAAUAAAGGCCUUACUAAAUGACGAUAAAAGAUAUACCGAAGCAGUAAAAAUGAUAAUAUACAGACUGACAAUAAUUCCCCUAUAUUCCCCUUAGAGGUUUAUGAUAUUUAUAAUGCCAAAAUUGCAGAAGCUUUUAGCAAUGACAUUAUCAUCUUUGAGGAACCACCAGACGUUGCAGUAGAAGAAGAAAUAUUUAGUCACGAUCUCACAUCAUGUUUCAACUUAGCAGCAGAUAAUGGUUUGGGUGCCGAUAUAAGUAGUGAUUAAAAUAAGGAAAAUACAACCAAUCAAAUCAAUAAUGAUGUUGAACCAAAUAUUGACAGUGAUUAUGAAUUAGAAUCCGCUAUUAUUAGAUAUCCGCUCCUAUUUGCGAAUUAUUUACUUUUAGGUAUUUCAUCCUAGCAUCAAAAACAUGUUUAAAGAAUUUAGGGUAUUGUUUUUAACUUAGAAUGUAUUUUUGGUUUAAAAAAAUAAAGCCUAUCAAAAAUC